GAUGAACGCUGGCGGCGUGCCUAAUACAUGCAAGUCGAGCGAACAGAUGAGGAGCUUGCUCCUCUGACGUUAGCGGCGGACGGGUGAGUAACACGUGGAUAACCUACCUAUAAGACUGGGAUAACUUCGGGAAACCGGAGCUAAUACCGGAUAAUAUAUUGAACCGAAUGGUUAAUUGGGAAAGGACGGUUUUGCGUGAAUUAAUGGUGGGUUCGCGCCGCAUUAGCUAGUUGGGAAGGUAAAGGGUUACCAAGGGAAAGAUGCGUAGCCGACCUGAGAGGGUGAUCGGCCACACUGGAACUGAGACACGGUCCAGACUCCUACGGGAGGCAGCAGUAGGGAAUCUUCCGCAAUGGGCGAAAGCUUGACGGAGCAACGCCGCGUGAGUGAUGAAGGUCUUCGGAUCGUAAAACUCUGUUAUUAGGGAAGAACAAAUGUGUAAGUAACUAUGCACGUCUUGACGGUACCUAGUCAGAAAGCCACGGCUAACUACGUG
rnacentral:rRNA from 1 species